UACGAAGGGGGCUAGCGUUGUUCGGAAUUACUGGCGUAAAGCGUGCGCAGGCGGCUUCUCAAGUCAGGGGUGAAAGCCCAGAGCUCAACUCUGGAAUUGCCUUUGAGACUGAGUGGCUUGAGUACGAGAGAGGUGAGUGGAAUUCCCAGUGUAGAGGUGAAAUUCGUAGAUAUUGGGAAGAACACCGGUGGCGAAGGCGGCUCACUGGCUCGUAACUGACGCUGAUGGCACGAAAGCUGGGGGAGCAAACAGG
rnacentral:rRNA from 1 species